AGGGUCGAGGGGGCAGAAGUAGUGAAACGACUAAUUAUCGUAUAUUCUUUCCUGUAUAUUACAAUGUAAUUAUCUGUUGGUAGACCGCACUGUAUACAUAGCUUGUGUCAGUCGCUAUCGGAACAACCACGAGGUUAGUCAGGGACCAUGGUUAAUUUUCCAGGUUUUCCUUCGUCAUCCCCUGGGAUACUGAUUGUAUAAGUUGUGCUAUAUUUGUCCUGGUCAUGUUUAAAACUGAAGAAAACCAAGGACCACGUGUUGAUACAUAAAAGUUUAGUGUCUAAAAAUCGUGUUUUCUUCGAAGCCACUCUAUGUGAAGUCUCCAGGCACCCUAAUUUAUAAAUACGGGAGGAUUCCACGUAAUAUAAAUUGUUUUAGUUCAUCUUAAUUUAUCAAUUUGAAUAUGUAAUAAGUUAGUAAUAAUUUUAGACGACGACGACAAAUAUAUAUCUGUUAAACUGGAGGUUUUAAAAAAGAAUUUCUAGAAGCGAUGCCAUAAUGCUGUGUUCUUAUAAUUUAUUCAAGCUACGAAUUGAAGUAGUGGACAAUGAAACAAUGGUAGCUACCAGAAUGUUGGUUUAGUUCUCUCAGGACAAAUGGUCAUUGACGAUGGAACAAAGGAGGUGCCCAGAAUGUUAUAGUUUUCUCAUGACAUAUGAGUGAUCAAAGAGAACCUGAUGUGAAAGAAGUGAAACCAAAGUCAUGGACGAUGGAACAAAGGAGGUCCCCAAACUGUUUUAGUUUUCUCAUGACAUUUGAGUGAUCAAAGAGAAUCUGGUGUGAAAGAAGUGAAACCAAAGGUAUUAUGACAAGAUGCUCUAAAAUAUAAAGGGUUCAAUACGGAUUUUCUACAACCACUGUCACAAAAAGAUUAAGGAUGAAGUCCAUUCUAUACAUUGCUUCAAAGAAAUAUCAAGUACAGCCAAUGUAAAGAAGAAUAUAUUAGACUUUAUUUACAUAAAAUUGGUGCAGUGGUAGUGUAUUUAUACUGCGGUGGUAGCGGUAAUUUCUAAAUGAAGUUUUCGCAAUAGGCAGUAUAGUAUCAUUAUAGUAUUAACAAAUCACGUUAUUAAUGUUUCUGCACUACACACACAAAUACACUUCAACUGCACCAACGUUUAUGUGAAUGAGCUACUAGUAUCUGUGUACCAGAUGUUGAAAAUUAAUCAUUUAAAUUUAAAAAUUAAAAUAAUAAGUAGUCAUG